GGAUUGGAUACUUUGGCCCUGGAUCAGGCAGUAUUGUAAUGGCUGAUGUACAAUGUAAUGGGACUGAAGAUCUAUUAGUUAAUUGUCUCCAUUAUACUACUCAUCAAUGUAGUUACAGUCAAGAUGCUGGAGUCACUUGUAUAUCUUCAAGUUUGGCUCAUACAAGUUCAAAAAGCUUUUGACUACAGCUACAGCUAAUGAUGACUAUGAUGAUGGAGACGAUGAUGAUCACGACUCUUAUGAUGAAUAAGGAAAAGGUUUUUAUAACACAACUUCUUUACUUUAUUAUAAAUUUGCAUACUAAUUUUGCCAUUUUAUAUCCACACAUUUCUUUAUUAUUUUGCUGCUGGUCCAAAAAUAUUUUAGAUAAUUACUGUUAAUAAGUUGAUGUUGAUAGUUUGUUUAUAAGUUAAUAGCUCUCUAGUCUAUAAUA